UACGGAGGGUGCGAGCGUUGUCCGGAAUCACUGGGCGUAAAGGGCGCGUAGGUGGCGUCGCAAGUCAACGGUGAAAGCUCGACGCUCAACGUCGAGUCGGCCGUCGAGACUGCGAGGCUUGAGCACUGUAGAGGCAGAUGGAAUUCCGGGUGUAGCGGUGGAAUGCGUAGAGAUCCGGAAGAACGACCGGUGGCGAAGGCGGUCUGCUGGGCAGUUGCUGG
rnacentral:rRNA from 1 species